CUCUCACUUGUAAGAUGUAAAUACUGAUAUGUUGACCUUGCAAGAUCGUUACAAGGGUUACAGAGGAAACCACUGUAGUCUGUAGACUCUUUGAAAUGGAAUAAACAGUUAUGGGAAGAGGGAAAACCCAAGAAUGGACUGUCAGUGAGUAGAACAGCUUAUUGACACCAUGCUCUCCUAGUUGUCCUGAAGUUGAUAUUCCACAUGGUUUUUGGUAAUAAACUGCCUCAGGGAUGUGGGGGCUGCACCUGGGAUGCCGGUUAUGUUCCAGGUCUUCUUCUAAGUGCUUUAUGUACAUUAUCUAAUUAGAUACAUUAGGCUCACAAAAAUUUUACUUUUCAAGUGGGAAAUGGAGGCUCAUUAAGAUUAAGUGAUUAUUUUCCCAAAUAUGCAUAGUAAGAAGAGGCCAAGUUGGGAAUUAACACUGGGUGAUUUGGUAUAUUGCUUCCAACCUUCCAGAAUACUAUGUAAUAAAUGACAUGGGGUUUAGGAAGUAGUUCCUCCCUUAUAUUUUCAUGGCACACCAAUUACAGAUACAUUUUCACAUCUAUGAUCUAUUACAUCCUUUUCACUGUGAAGCCACUAAGACCCCCAAAAUUAAAUUCUGCAGUUAAAUGGCUCUUAAGAAAAGGAAAAAGUGAGGGACGUGAACCCAAGCUCUCUGAGGCCAGAUGAUAUGCGAUUUUAUCUAUAUGACAUGGCUGCCAAAGGAAACAGUUAUCCCUUCAGGCUUGGGUGGGGACUGGAAGUGUUUAUAGAGUUGGUAAGAAAAAAUUUCACAGGCCAGGUGUAGUG
rnacentral:lncRNA from 1 species